CGCACGGGUGCGUAACACGUAUGCAACCUACCCUUUACAGGAGAGUAGCCCCGAGAAAUCGGGAUUAAUACUCCAUGGUAUCAUAAGAUCGCAUGGUCUAAUGAUUAAAGUUUCGGCGGUAAAGGAUGGGCAUGCGGUCUAUUAGUUUGUUGGUGAGGUAACGGCUCACCAAGACUUCGAUAGAUAGGGGGUCUGAGAGGAUGAUCCCCCACACUGGUACUGAGACACGGACCAG
rnacentral:rRNA from 1 species